CCUUUCGGCUGCGUCCAAUAAUAAUAAACCUACUUUCGCGUUUUAUAAAUCGGGUAUGGGGUCUGCCCGACCAAAGUUUUAUGAAAUGCGUAGACAUACUUCGCAAAUGAAAAAGUGAAUUAAUUGCUUUAUUUGGCAGCCAGAACGAGCAGUUUAAUCAAUAUGCUAACAUAUGACAACUUAGUGCAGCUCUAAAAGCGAUUGUGGAAAGUGACUCCAAUGUGAACAGCUCAAAAUAAGUACACACUAGAACUGUCGAAAACGCACCAACUUCAGGAAUGGUGCGCCAAGGGUAUAUGAUGCUAGUGAAGCAGCGCUAGUGAUUUUUUUUGACCCGCAUGUUUUUAAGCACAAGUUGACGGCGUGGGAUGUUGGAAAGCGGUUGGAGGCUCGCAAAAUCGCUAAGAACGAAAGUGCUGUACUCAUCGCUAAGAACGAAAGUAGCUGUACUCCGCCGAAGAGACCAGAUGGGGCAUGCUUCAAUUGCUAGAGUCUGAGUCAUCAAUUUGAUCAACCUUAUAAAGUCUGUUUGCUUACAUUCUGAUGCUAAAUGCAAAUUACCACCUCCUUAAAUAAAUUGUCUGAACGGUUUAAUCUGAUUAACAAAAGCGUCAGAAAAAUAUACAUAUGUACAUAUGGCCUGCAUCAGCCCGUGUCGGCUGUUAUGCACCCUCUGUUGAGACUUAUCAUCAAUUGAGACUUAGCCGGACAUUUCUCUCUUAAGUAGGUAUCUCCAUUCAGUUAUUUAUUCUAUGCAAGCUGAUAUUGUCUUCAAUUCGUCAACAGAAUGCAUUUUCAUUUAACAACAUUAAAUGGAACAGGCGACGAAACACUGCAAAGUUAUUGACAGUCGCCGCAAAAAAUAAAAACAAGAAAGCAAUUAUGAGGCAAUCGUUGCACAGAUUUAGGAAAAGUGUACCCACGAAAAUACUUAUAACCGGAGCUCUCUGGGGGUGGUAAGGGGCGAUAGAAAGGGGUAUUUCAAGUUAGGUACACAAUCAGGAGUCUACGUGUGACUCUGCUAAUGCUCGGGGCGACGGAUAACACAGAACGGUCUCGCCUGUGGCCGAUUCUUCACUACUGGAGCGUGGUAGUUGGUGGCUCGUCUCGCCGUCUUUAUGGUUACGCCAAGGCUUGGCUGACGUGCGCCGCUGCUAAUGCUGACAUGCACCGCUGAUAUGGCUGACGUGCGCCGCUGAGCCAAAUCCUGGCCUUUGGGGUGACUGGCCACUCUGGUCCGAGAACUGGUCCUUCGUUGUCGGAACCGUUUAUUUUGUCAAUAGCCUUAUGAUUUUUUAUUUGUUCGUCUCGUGUCGCACGUAAGUUUUAACUUUUCUCUAAUUUUGCAUAUUUUGACACAAUGUUUAAAUUUUGAUUUUUUUAAUAA